AAAAAGAAAAAUCAUACAAACUUUUGUGGAGGCAAUUGGGAGAAAAGCAGAGUUGGGCGCAUCAUCUUUUUUCUUCCAUCUUCCUACCGAAGAGUUGGAGAAAGACGACGUUGCUCGAUCAAGAUUUCACUGCGAUCCAUUACGAACCAUGAAUCACUCGUCAAUCUUGCUCGGUUCUGUCGGCUCGAUUUCUUGUUCAAGAUCCGGCGCCGAUUGGGUUGGAGCCGAAUCGAACUACCCGAGCGAUGAUUGACGAGUCCUUCAUGGGUCGUGCGUUCUUCAAUAUUAAAAAUCGAUUCUUUUCUUGGCCUCGGCUUCGGAUUGCGGGUAAAAUUCGACUUCCAUCUUCCUCGUUCUGGAACUUGGGCAAGUUACCCAUUUGCGUGGAGUGAGUUUUCUGGGGUCCCUGCUUUUCUAGGAGGGUUUCCGUUUCGUGAUCUGAAUUGGGUCUGACUUGCACAUUGCUAUGUAUUCCGAAAAUCUAAACAAGAUUGCAAAUUUAACCUGGAAGCUGACGAAACUUGAGGUGCAUUGCCUUGUCUAUGUUGCGUAAAGUGAAUGUUGAAAUGAGCGGGAGAAAAGAUUGGAUGGGUGAUGUGUUAAUUUACCAUGAUGUCGAUUCAGGCAUUUUUCUAUAUUUUGAUGCAGUUGCAAAUCAUUUAAUUGGAAAAGAUGCAACUACAAGAAUAGGAAGAAUCGCAACAGGCGCGAGACUUUAUAGCUUUAGCUCUUGUUUAAUGGUUUUUUCCCGAGUGAAGAUUUCGUUUGGAGAAAUGAUGGAAUUACUUGCUGCAACUGGCCAGCCUGCUUCAUUGACAUCAGAAGAUGGCUUGUUGGAAAAUGGUUAGCAUGACAAUUACUUUGGUAAUGAAUAUAUUUCAUCACUUAGCAGCACUUUUUUAAACACCCAAACCAUCGGAAGUUUGAACUGAAGCUAAUUGGUUUAAAUGGUGCUUACAUGUUGAUUUGUAGGAGUGAUGCGUCAAUGUCAUAUAUAUCUUAAUCCUGAAACUAAGUGAGCUCCUAUUAUGCAGUAAAAUAUUCAAAAGGAUAAAACUGAGCUUGGAUAACAAGCUCUUUGAUUACUUCGGGCCUGCUAAAAUUUUUUAUUAGGAAUCCUAAUUGAUAAAUACUAUUGUUAGUGGAAGUUUGACAGGAAGUAAUGCAUGAGGGAGCUGAAGACCUUGCUUUUAGCUAUGGACCUUGAGGGAAUAACUUUUGAGGGGGUUGCAUGAUAGUAGUCAGAAGAAGAUGUAAACUUUCCAAGGAAGUUUUGAAACUUGGAGAACAAGUCCGAAAUUUUCAGUUGAGAACAGUUCUUUCCUCCUUUCUUUACCAUGUUAGUGGCAAUCCCUUAUGUCUUUACUAUAACUCUUUUGUUCAUAUGCAAAUGCUUUUCUAACGGACUUUUAUUUUUUUAUUUUUUUAUUUUCGGCUUAGCCAUGAACAUUUUAUUUGUUAAUAUGAGUAAAAAUAAGUGGGGAAAAUUUAAGAUUUUUCUUUUCCCUCCUUCUGUCUUUUACCACCUUAGUCCUUGUUGAUUUUGAGGGGACAUAAAAAUCAUGAAGAAUCUCACAUCGGGAUUGCUUUGAAUGAUUGAACACAUGGCUUGGAAAAAUUGAAUAGUAGAAGUGCCUUAUGUAUAAUAUUUAAGUAUUUACUCAUUUUAAAUGGGAUUCUCCUGUGUAUUUGUAUGGGGUCUUUCUGUAGUCCUCCAACCAUCACUGAUUUUGCUUGCGAAGUUACUACCUUGAUGAUGAAAGGUACCAACGCUUGUUAUUGCACAAAAUGAAUUGCGAAGGUUAUUGUCACGGAUUACUGUUUGUAUGGGACUAUAGACAUACCCAUUGGUAUGACUCAGAGGAAAAACCAGCUAGCCAUUGAUAUGCACAGUCACAGGAUAUACAGAGGUUAAGAUGUGGGAUCCACCAAACGGUCAAACAACUUCCUAGCCAGGAUGGAAAGCGUAGAAACUUCGUUAGUUGAUCUGCUGGUGGGAUUCCAAUUCAGACCAACAGAUGAGGAACUUGUCAAUCAAUACUUGAAGACACUUGGCAACGAAACAGUUGAACAGAUAAUUCCCAAGGUUGAUGUCCAUCAAUUGCCACCUUGGGAUUUACCUGGCAAGAUAAAUGAACUAUCAAGGAUAAAGUCAGAUGGUGAUGAAUGGUUCUUCUUCAGCUGUCUGCAAAAUAAGUACCCUCAAAGUAAACAAGUGAGAAGGACAAAUGACUAUGGCUCUUGGAAGCCAAUGGGCAAAACUCACAAAAUCAGGACACUAGACAGGAAGAACACAUUAGGUCUGAAGAAAAUUUUGGUUUUCAAAAAACGUUAGAGUCCCAAAAAUGCUCAUACCAAAUGGGUACUGCAUGAAUACAGCAUCCUCAAUGACCAGACUGACUCCGUUCUUUACCACUUGAAGGAAAACCCUGAUGAGAAUGGUAAGAAAAAUUCAAACUGCUGCUUCUCUUUUCUCCUUUGCUUAAAAUCAUCUGUAAGGAGGAGGCCAAUUCCAUCAGCGAUUUCAGAAUAAGACCACAGAAAUCAUAAUAAUCUCGCUGAGCUAUUAGAAAGAAAAGGUAAACGCUUUGCUUUGAUGAAACUACUUUUAAAGCACUUGAAAAUGCCCUCUUACAUAAGAAAUCAUCCGGCAAUCCACAUGGUGAUCUUUGAUCAUUUCUUAAGAAUAUGAAUAUCACAAACAAGAUGAAUGAAGUCAUCUAAAAUCCUGUUCAUGAUGGUUCUAGGUGUGAUAGUUUCAGAAUCAGCAUGCUCGGACUCUGUAAAUCCUUGGUCGAUGAAUCGUAUGCAUUUCAAGGGGGUUUCACUCAAUAAUCGUCUUGGAGGAUGAAGCUAGGAAGGCUCUCGCAAAGGAUCAAAAUCACUAUUGCAGACUUGAGAGCAAGACGAAAUUCUAUUCUGACAUGUCUCUUGUUAAAGCGUUUUUUGAGUUUGAGUCCAUACAUGAAACUGGCCCCAGGCGUUAAUGGUUCAAAUUGGAAGUUCUCUAUGGAAAAUGCAUUACUGCUUUUACUAAGAGAGAUGAUCAUGUGUGGAAGACCUAUAAACUUGUAAAGUGUUUGAUUCUCAACGAAUAAGAUGAGAGGGAAAACUAGAACGUGGUCAGUUACAAAUUAGAUUGUCUAAGCAAAAAAAAAAAAGAUUAAAAAAAAAAGUUGAUAAAUCUUGUCAUACAUUUGAAAUUUAUCAUAUGUGAACUCCUGAAAUCUCUCUCAUUCAUAUUGCUAGUGCUGUAGCUGCCGGUAUGCAAAUUGGACAAUAAUCUUCACCUUGA